rnacentral:rRNA from 1 species
AUUUGGUUAAGUUAGAAAGGGCGCACGGUGGAUGCCUUGACACUAGGAGUCGAUGAAGGACGGGACUAACGCCGAUAUGCUUCGGGGAGCUGUAAGUAAGCUUUGAUCCGAAGAUUUCCGA